GAUGAACGCUAGCGGCAGGCUUAAUACAUGCAAGUCGAGGGACAGCACAGGUAGCAAUACUGGGUGGUAACCGGCAAACGGGUGCGGAACACGUACACAACCUUCCUUUAAGUGGGGGAUAGCCCAGAGAAAUUUGGAUUAAUACGCCGUAAUAUAGUUGAAUGGCAUCAUUUGAUUAUUAUAGCUACGGCGCUUAAUGAUGGGUGUGCGGCUGAUUAGAUAGUUGGCGGGGUAACGGCCCAACAAGUCUACGAUCAGUAGCUGAUGUGAGAGCAUGAUCAGCCACACGGGCACUGGGACACGGGCCCGGCUCCUACGGGAGGCAGCAGUAAGGAAUAUUGGUCAAUGGACGCAAGUCUGAACCAGCCAUGCCGCGUGAAGGAUUAAGGUCCUCUGGAUUGUAAACUUCUUUUAUUUGGGACGAAAAAGGGCCUUUCUAGGUCAACUGACGGUACCAGAUGAAUAAGCACCGGCUAACUCCGUGCCAGCCGCCGCCGUAACAC
rnacentral:rRNA from 1 species